UACGGAGGGGCUAGCGUUGUUCGGAAUUACUGGGCGUAAAGCGCACGUAGGCGGCUAUUUAAGUCAGAGGUGAAAGCCCGGAGCUCAACUCCGGAAUUGCACCUCAAACUACAUGGCUAGAGCAUUGGAGAGGGAAGCGGAAUUCACGGUGUAGCAGUGAAAUGCGUAGAUAUCUGGAGGAACACCGGUGGCGAAGGCGGCAUCCUGGACCAACACUGACGCUGAGUGAGCGAAAGCCAGGGGAGCAAACGGG
rnacentral:rRNA from 1 species